rnacentral:rRNA from 1 species
GAAAUGGCUGCUAAUACCGCAUAAGCGCACGGGAACGCAUGUUUCUGUGUGAAAAACUCCGGUGGUGUAAGAUGGGCCCGCGUUGGAUUAGGUAGUUGGUGAGGUAACGGCUCACCAAGCCGACGAUCCAUAGCCGACCUGAGAGGGUGACCGGCCACAUUGGGACUGAGACACGGCCCAAACUCCUACGGGAGGCAGCAGUGGGGAAUAUUGCACAAUGGGCGCAAGCCUGAUGCAGCGACGCCGCGUGAGCGAAGAAGUAUUUCGGUAUGUAAAGCUCUAUCAGCAGGGAAGAAAAUGACGGUACCUGACUAAGAAGCUCCGGCUAAAUACGUGCCAGCAGCCGCGGUAAUACGUAUGGAGCAAGCGUUAUCCGGAAUUACUGGGUGUAAAGGGAGCGUAGACGGAUGUGCAAGUCUGAUGUGAAAGGCGGGGGCUCAACCCCUGGACUGCAUUGGAAACUGUAAAUCUUGAGUGCCGGAGAGGUAAGCGGAAUUCCUAGUGUAGCGGUGAAAUGCGUAGAUAUUAGGAGGAACACCAGUGGCGAAGGCGGCUUACUGGACGGUAACGGGCGUUGAGGCUCGAAAGCGUGGGGAGCAAACAGGAUUAGAUACCCUGGUAGUCC